rnacentral:rRNA from 1 species
AAGCGUGCGCAGGCGGUUUUGUAAGUCAGAUGUGAAAUCCCCGGGCUCAACUUGGGAACUGCGUUUGAAACUGCAAGACUAGAAUAUGUCAGAGGGGGGUAGAAUUCCACGUGUAGCAGUGAAAUGCGUAGAGAUGUGGAGGAAUACCAAUGGCGAAGGCAGCCCCCUGGGAUAAUAUUGACGCUCAUGCACGAAAGCGUGGGGAGCAAACAGGAUUAGAUACCCUGGUAGUCCACGCCCUAAACGAUGUCUACUAGUUGUUGGUGGAGUAAAAUCCAUGAGUAACGCAGCUAACGCGUGAAGUAGACCGCCUGGGGAGUACGGUCGCAAGAUUAAAACUCAAAUGAAUUGACGGGGGCCCGCACAAGCGGUGGAUUAUGUGGAUUAAUUCGAUGCAACGCGAAAAACCUUACCUGGCCUUGACAUGUAACGAACUUUCCAGAGAUGGAUUGGUGCUCGAAAGAGAGCGUUAACACAGGUGCUGCAUGGCUGUCGUCAGCUCGUGUCGUGAGAUGUUGGGUUAAGUCCCGCAACGAGCGCAACCCUUGCCAUUAAUUGCCAUCAUUUAGUUGGGCACUUUAAUGGGACUGCCGGUGACAAACCGGAGGAAGGUGGGGAUGACGUCAAGUCCUCAUGGCCCUUAUGGCCAGGGCUUCACACGUAAUACAAUGGUCGGUACAGAGGGUUGCCAAGCCGCGAGGUGGAGCCAAUCCCAGAAAGCCGAUCGUAGUCCGGAUUGUAGUCUGCAACUCGACUACAUGAAGUCGGAAUCGCUAGUAAUCGCGGAUCAGCAUGUCGCGGUGAAUACGUUCCCGGGCCUUGUACACACCGCCCGUCACACCAUGGGAGUGGGUUUUACCAGAAGUAGGUAGUCUAACCUUCGGGAGGACGCUUACCACGGUAGUAUUCAUGACUGGGGGUGAAGUCGUAACAAGGUA